rnacentral:rRNA from 1 species
AUACGGAGGGUGCAAGCGUUACUCGGAAUCACUGGGCGUAAAGCGCGCGCAGGCGGGCUGAUAAGUUGGAUGUGAAAGCCUACGGCUCAACCGUAGAACUGCAUCCAAAACUGUCAGGCUAGAGUGUGGGAGAGGAAGAUGGAAUUAGUUGUGUAGGGGUAAAAUCCGUAGAGAUAACUAGGAAUACCAAAAGCGAAGGCAAUCUUCUGGAACACUACUGACGCUGAGGCGCGAAGGCGUGGGGAGCAAACAGGAUUAGAAACCCUAGUAGUCC